rnacentral:rRNA from 1 species
AAUAUUGGACAAUGGGCGAAAGCCUGAUCCAGCGACGCCGCGUGGGUGAAGAAGGCCUGCGGGUUGUAAAGCCCUUUCAGUGGGGAAGAAAAGCCUCGACCUAACACGUCGGGGUCUUGACGUAACCCAUAGAAGAAGCACCGGCUAACUACGUGCCAGCAGCCGCGGUAAUACGUAGGGUGCGAGCGUUGCCCGGAUUUAUUGGGCGUAAAGGGCGUGUAGGCGGCCGAGCAAGUCAUGCGUGAAAUCUCCUGGCUCAACUGGGAGGGGUCGCGUGAUACUGCUGGGCUGGAGCAAGGUAGGGGGCAGUGGAAUUCCCGGUGUAGUGGUGGAAUGCGUAGAUAUCGGGAGGAACACCAGUGGCGAAGGCGGCUGCCUGGACCUUUGCUGACGCUAAGGCGCGAAAGCGUGGGGAGCGAUC